UUGAUAAUUAUUAUAGCACUGCUACUAGCUCGAACACUCAUUCUAUCAACGUAAAAAUAGCCUCCAAAUUCAAAGAUGUAUGCGUGUACGAUUGCAUGUGUUGUGCAUUUUUAUUCACACCAACAAAAAUUUUGCAA